CAGCCGCCGCGGUAAUACGUAGGGCGCAAGCGUUGUCCGGAAUUAUUGGGCGUAAAGAGCUCGUAGGCGGCUUGUCGCGUCGGUUGUGAAAGCCCGGGGCUUAACUCCGGGUCUGCAGUCGAUACGGGCAGGCUAGAGUUCGGUAGGGGAGAUCGGAAUUCCUGGUGUAGCGGUGAAAUGCGCAGAUAUCAGGAGGAACACCGGUGGCGAAGGCGGAUCUCUGGGCCGAUACUGACGCUGAGGAGCGAAAGCGUGGGGAGCGAACAGGAUUAGAUACCCUGGUAGUCCACGCCGUAAACGGUGGGCACUAGGUGUGGGCAGCAUUCCACGUUGUCCGUGCCGUAGCUAACGCAUUAAGUGCCCCGCCUGGGGAGUACGGCCGCAAGGCUAAAACUCAAAGGAAUUGACGGGGGCCCGCACAAGCGGCGGAGCAUGUGGCUUAAUUCGACGCAACGCGAAGAACCUUACCAAGGCUUGACAUACACCGGAAAACCCUGGAGACAGGGUCCCCCUUGUGGUCGGUGUACAGGUGGUGCAUGGCC
rnacentral:rRNA from 1 species